GCCCACGUAGCUCAGUGGAUAGAGCACCGGCCUUCUAAGCCGGGGGUCACAAGUUCGAGUCUUGUCGUGGGCGCCA
rnacentral:tRNA from 1 species